CGAAAGGGCGAGGAAUAGAUCCUACAUACCCAGAGGUCGGGGAUACCUCGGAGAAAUCCGAAUCAAUACCCGAUGUGGUCGAGAGACCAAAGGCUUGCCGCCUUUGGAGUGGGGAAUCUCCUAUCAGCUAGUUGGUGAGGUAAUGGCUCACCAAGGCGAAGACGGGUAGCGGGUGUGAGAGCACGGCCCGCCGCAUCGAGACUGAGACACUGCUCGGACUCCUACGGGAGGCUGCAGUAACGAAUCUUCCGCAAUGCGCGAAAGCGUGACGGGGCAAUGCCGCGUGUGGGAUGAAGCCCUUCGGGGUGUAAACCACUGUCAGGGUCCGCCAACAACAUGAGGAGACCCAAAGGAAGAGCCGGCUAACUCUGUGCCAGCAGCCGCGGUAAUACAGAGGGCUCGAGCGUUAAUCGGAAUCACUGGGCUUAAAGCGUGCGUAGGCGGACUUGAAGGCACCUUGUGAAAUCCCUCAGCUCAACUGAGGAACUGCUUGGUGAACCACGAGUCUUGAGGUCGGUAGAGGCGGUCGGAACGAUAGGUGGAGCGGUGAAAUGCGUAGAUAUCUAUCGGAACGCCAAUGGUGCAGACAGGCCGCUGGGCCGCACCUGACGCUGAGGCACGAAAGCGUGGGGAUCAAACGGGAUUAGAUACCCCGGUAGUCCACGCCGUAAACGAUGCGCACUUGGUCGAGGGAGUUGAGCGCUUUCUCGGUCGUAGAAAAAUUGAUUAGUGCGCCGCCUGGGGAGUACGGUCGCAAGAUUAAAACUCAAAGGAAUUGACGGGGGCUCACACAAGCGGUGGAGCAUGUGGCUUAAUUCGAAGCAACGCGAAGAACCUUAUCCUAGGCUUGACAUGCACGGAUUAGUUCCUGGAAACAGGAGUGACACUCGCAAGAGUGGAACGUGCACAGGUGCUGCAUGGCUGUCGUCAGCUCGUGCUGUGAAGUGUCGGGUUAAGUCCCUCAACGAGCGCAACCCCUGUCGUUAGUUGCAAACGCGUAAUGGCGUGGACUCUAACGAGACUGCCGGUGUCAAACCGGAGGAAGGUGGGGAUGACGUCAAGUCCUCAUGGCCCUUAUGCCUAGGGCUGCACACGUGCUACAAUGGCCAUCGAC
rnacentral:rRNA from 1 species